GAUCAGGUACCGUGCGUCGGAAACUCCGAACCGUGUCAGAUCCUGACGGAAGCAGCACUAAGGGGAUCUCUCCGAGCGUUGCGGCAAUACCUGGUCUAA
rnacentral:SRP_RNA from 1 species